rnacentral:lncRNA from 1 species
CACAGUUUAAAGGAUUUGUUUAAAAGAACAAAGCAUGAGAAAUACAGUGAGAUACAAGCUCAUAACCAAACCUAAAUAAGUAAGCAGAUCUGAUUCAACACGAGAAAAGAUUACAAAACAAGACCUAGUUUUGUAGGAAGCACUAUCUGAAGACAAAGUUGCAGGACACGCUGCAAGUCCCUUUGCGGGGAGCCAUAAGCAGGGAGAAAUAACCUGGUUUCUACUUAGCCUAGCAGGGAGUUAUGGGUAGGUCAGGGUUUCCUAAAUAAGGUCCUGACAAUUCAUCACUGUUAUUAAAAGGAAGAGCAGAUUUUUCCUAUCAGGCCUGGCAGUGAUAUGUAUUCUCUCUCUGUCUUAAUUUAAUCUUAACUUUACCGUCAGCUUACUACACACAGUCCUUUGAUUCCUUUCUUCUCAAGCAAUGAAAGAAUUAAACCUGGCAAGUCAACUAUUGAUGGUCCAUGGACAAGGAGAACAAGAUUGUAAAGAAAAAAUCUGUGGAUGAUCCAAUAGCUGUGGGAUUUUUUGUUUGUUUGUUUGAGACGGAUUCUAGCUCUGUUGCCAGGCUGGAGUGCAGUGGUGCGAUCUCAGUUCACUACAACUUCCACCUCCCAGGUUCAAGCGAUUCUCCUGCCUCAGCUUCCUGAGUAGCUGGGAUUGCAGGCACGCACUGCCAUGCCCAGCUAAUUUUUGUAUUUUUAGUAGAGACGGGGUUUCACCAUGUUGGCCAGAAUGGUCUCGAUCUCUUGAACUUGUGAUCUGCCCAACUUGGCCUCCCAAAGUGCUAGGAUUACAGGCGUGAGCCACCGCACCCCGCCAGUGUUUUAACUAGUAAUUGGACUCCUAUUGAAAUAUUGCAAGACAGCCACUAAUAGCCAAGAAAAAAAGAGACAUUUUCACAUUCUUUUUCUUUUUACCAACAAAUGAGGAACUCAAGAACUCCCCAGUUGAAUGAGGGAGGCAGCUGCAUCAAGUUUAUGCCUCAUUUUACUUCAGAUUUUUAUUGUACUAGUGGCUACAUCAUGGGCUUACCCAUUGGAUAUUUGGUAGUUUUUUCUCUGUGAGCUCUUCUUCAAGACCUAAUUGUAAUGUAAACUAUCAACUCAGAACUACUAAGAAUACCUCCAAUCUCAUUUAUUUAAAUUAUUAUAUAAUUAUAAUUUAAACAAAGCCAUUUUUUAGUCCCAAGAAACCCCAUUAGCUAAAAUAGUGUCUUCUUUCCUACCUCUACUUUUCUUGUCCCCAGCAAUUGCCUUCCUUGAUUUGACCUCAUAUACAUUAAAAAUAGACUGUUCAAAAGCCCUAUGUGUACCAUCAAACCAAAGUAAGACAGGUUUGGAAGUAGGAAUACAUCUGACAUAUUCUCUUUUGGAGCCUCACCAAGCUGAGAACUGCAGAAUACUAAAGUGAUAAAGGAAAAUAUAUCAGUUCACAGUUUUACAGAAAAAAAAAUACAAAGCUAGUGUUAACUUUCCACAACCUCCCUUCUUACCCACAUCAAUAAUUUCAACUUACCAUCCACCUAUUUCAUAAGAUCUUCACACUUUCUUUAGCACCAUCUGAUAAUCUCUCCUACUUCAAUGAAAAUACAACCAACUUUCCAAAAUUUCCCCUGAACCUUAAUUCUGCAAGCCUCAGUCUCCCUAUAGGAACUUAUUAUAGGCCAAUCAGUAUUUCCUUUGCAUGUUAGGAGAAAAAUCUCUAAAACAGUUGCACUUAGGAAAUAAGUGCUAGCUGUCAUUCUAUCAGCAUGAGGAUCAGGUUGAUAGUGGCAGAAACAGUCAUUCUCCCACUACCACAUUGUUUAAAGUAAAAAGAAAGGGGCAUCAACAAUUUUCAUCUAACAUUAGUUACGCUGAAACUUCUAAAGAAAAGGUUCAAUGCACAGCGUUUAGCAGCCUAGAGAAGAAUGCUGUAACAAACUGAUUUUACGGCCAGGUGUCUGAGAAAAAAUGGCAACGAAAUUCCAAGGUGACACUCCAAGCUAGAGACAUAAUUAACUACAAUGACCUGCCAGGAAGGUAAAGUCUGUUAUAAAACUGAAAUAUUUUCUUUACUUAAAUAAUAUGAACUUCAGCUAAACAGUUGGGUAGUUGUUCACAUGAGAUUAAGGAAAAAGAAAAAUCCAGUUACUAUCGACACUAAAGAAAUGCACACCAACCAAACACCAAAAGUACUUUGGUACUAUAGCCAUAAUAGACAAAUGUGUGGCAUGGGAGCAGGGAAUUCCCUGAUGGUUAGAUGACAGGGUCAUAGAAGGUUUCUGAGACCUGCUAUGUCUCCUGUGAGGCUGACGCACCGCCAUGAUCUGUAACAAGAGUCACAUAAACACAAGCUUAGCAGCUGGCUUGUUAAAACAUCGCUGUGUUGAAAAGUGACUGAUUCAGGCUUGUUGAAGGGUCUCAUUAAUCUGAGGAAACGAUGCUUGGUGCCAUAGAUUAAACACUAUGGUCUCAAGCGGAAUGCAUGUGAAGUUUCCAAAAUGUUUCCUCAAAGACUUUAUUCAGUUUUGGUUUGUGACCUUAGCUGGAAAACAUACAGAUGAACAUGGGAAGGCAGUUGAGAAAGACAUCUAUGAGGAUUUAAGUUGGGCAGCUUUCAGAAGAUGAAAGAUGUUUAAAGUUAAGGCCUUUAUCUGCAAACAAUAGUAUAUUAAUAAACUCUAUACCAUAUUUACAAAUGCAUUCUCUUGUAUUAAAACUAACAGUAUUUUCACAGUGCCAUUGUUUAUACAGGUAGCAAUCCCAUAAUACUCAUGUAUUUUGGCAUGGGAAUCAGUAGCGUUUGGUAUUUACAGAAAAUGUACAUGGGUGAAUAUAAACAUGUCACAGAAUCCAUAAAAGACAGAUUGGCUAAUGGUGCAAAGGAAUGAACUGUACAGCACCUUCCCUUCGGAUUGGAUAGGAAACGUGGUUUCUUAAACUGCGAAGAUGCCAAGUCUCUGCCCCAAAGUGGCAUAAUAAAGUCAAUAGCAAAACAAUGAACCCCCUGUUCAAGUUUGGGUACAUUGAAUGACCUUAGUCCAAAGUUGCAGAUCCAUUGUCUAGUGCAUAAAAUAUAAAAGUUAAAAAGAUUUAUUAUUUUUAUAAUAAUAUUAUUAUUAAAAUAGAAGGUACUUUCUCUCACACUCUCAUUUGUGCUCUUGCACUUAAGACCAAUAUCCUUGGCGUUGCAAAUAUGCUGGUGUUUCUGUCACGCAGAUCAGCAGUCAGAUAGCAAACGCUCAAACGCUCCGGACUUAGGAAUUGCUGCCUGUUCCAGUGCGACCCGGAACAAGGCGGACACGGCAGGAGCACCUCAUUCUUCCUCCUAGUCUUCUCCUGGAGCAGGGAGAGCCUGCCCGUGGGAUCAGCUCCCACGUUACUGAAUGGAGUUGCUCAUUUCGGCAGCGAAUGCUGAGGUGACAAAUGGCUUCUGUACAUUUGCGAAAAGGAGGGGAGGCAGGUAAGUGGGAGGAAGAUGGCGUUCCAAAGAGCCCCAGGACAACACUCAGAAAGUGGCUGGGCUGCUGCGUGAGGGCCCCUCCACGCUGCUUCUGCCCUCUGGGGGCCCUGCCGGAGGAGAGCCGCGUCUAAGUUGGGCCGGCCCCUAGGGGCUGUCGCCUUCCUGCUCCUCGCUCUCAGUCCCUUGGCCUGCGUGGUCGUGGUCAGGCCCGCUGCCACUGCUGCCCCUGCUUCUGUGCUGCCUGGGCAACAGGCUCUUCCACUGGGCCUUGUUGUGUGCGAGGUGGCCCAGCAUGUUCUCCGACAGGGUGCUGUUACCCGUGAAAUGGGCCCAUUCCCGGAAGAGCGGCUCCACGAUGUAGCUCAUGAAACCUAGAACAGCACUUCUCCUUCCUGUCACCAUGUGAAGAAGGACGUGUUUGCUUCCCCUUCUGCUAUGAUUGUAAGCUUCCUGAGGCCUCCCCAGCCCUGCAGAACUGUCAGUAUGAAAUAUAACUUAGAAUGAGUCAGACAUGUGUCUGUCUUUUGUAAAGUGGAAACAGGGUGACUGUGAAAGUUAAGUGGAAAAGUGGAACUGGCUUCACUGCCCCGCAAGCACAUUCCAGGACAAACUUGCCAAAUACUGCAAGAAAAGAUGUUGCUGAUCACGGAUAGGAAAUACUCCAAGUCCCAGGAGAUAGUCUGUUCUUAGGAGACUUCCACACCAAGUCUGCUGACCAGAGAAGGACCAGUCAACCACCACACUCUCCGCUGGAGCCCACUCAGCACCAGGAAGAAACAGAUGGAAAAACCUAGACUUGCUCCCUUAGAUCAGUGCUAUUAUCAAUAUCAUCCUCUGAGAGACAAAGCUGUUAAAUUACUUUGCCCAGAUGACAUGGCCAGUGAGUAUGGAGACAGACCGGAAAUUAAGGCUCUGUUCUAGAUUCUCGGAAUAUAGCAGUGAACAAAACAGAUAAAACGUGCCUGCCCCUGUGGGACUGAGAUUCUAGUGGGGAAGACAGACAAUAAACAAAGUCAAUAAGUAAAUUGCCCUCUAUAGGGAAAUAAUGUGAUAUUAAGAACUGAGGCCUUUUGGGAAGUGAUUAAGUCUUGAGGGCUCUGCCCUCCGUGAAUGGAACUAUAAAAAAGGUUGAAGGGAGCUGGCUUGCCCCUUGCACCACAAGAGGACACAUAGAAGGUGCUGUCUUAUGAGGCAGAGAGCAUGCCCUCCCCAGACAGAGAACCUGUUGGCACCUUGAUCUUGGACUUCCCAGCCUCUAGAACCACAGGUUGUUAAACUGAACCAUCUUGACUGGCCCCAGCCAAGUUUCUUACAGUGGAAAUGGCACAUUAACUAUGCAGCUGUCAUGAGAGAAGUCAGUACUCUUAGAUUCUAACCCAAAAGAAUUCAAAUAUAUUGGAUUUCCUCUCCUGUUCAAUUGGAAUUCAAGGACUUAAUCCACUUUUAAUUACACUGUUCCUGUUGUUGCAUCAAAAGUGGCAUCUAGUGUGGGAAGAACUGUUUGCUUAGAAAAACAUGGAGGGCCAGUGUGGUGGCUCACAACUGUAAUCCCAGCACUUUGGGAGGCAGAGGCAGGAGGAUCCCCUGAGGCCAGGAACUCAAGACCAGCCUGGGCAACGUAGCAAGACCAUGUCUCUACAAAAAUAAAAAAAUUAGCUGGGUGUGGUGGUGUGCAUCCAUAGUCCCAGCUACUUGGGAGGCAGAGGAGGAAGGAUUGCUUGAGCCUAGGAGUUCAAGGCUGCAGUGAGCUGUGAUUGAGCCACUGCACUCCAGCCUGGGUGACAGAGCAAGACCUCAUUUCAAAAACAAACAAACAAACAAAACAGGCAAUCUAAGUACUGGAAGAAAUGUGAGUUGGCGAUGUAAGAAGGAUAGACUGUUCUGAGACUAUGGCGACAACCUGUG